GAUGAACGCUGGCGGCGUGCCUAAUACAUGCAAGUCGAGCGAACAGAUGAGGAGCUUGCUCCUCUGACGUUAGCGGCGGACGGGUGAGUAACACGUGGAUAACCUACCUAUAAGACUGGGAUAACUUCGGGAAACCGGAGCUAAUACCGGAUAAUAUAUUGAACCGCAUGGUUCAAUAGUGAAAGACGGUUUUGCUGUCACUUAUAGAUGGAUCCGCGCCGCAUUAGCUAGUUGGUAAGGUAACGGCUUACCAAGGCGCCGAUGCGUAGCCGCCCUGAGAGGGUCAUCGGCCCCACUGGACUCGAGACACCGCCCACACUCCGACGGGAGGCAGCCGACUGGAAUCUUCGGAAAGGGGCGAAAGCCUGACGGAGCAACGCCGCGUGUGUGACGAAGGUGUUCGGAACGGAAGACAGUGUUAGUAGGGAAGAACAAAUGUGUGAGCAACUAUGCACUUUUUGACGGUACCCACUGAGAAAGCCACGUCUAACUACGGG
rnacentral:rRNA from 1 species